rnacentral:rRNA from 1 species
GACGAACGCUGGCGGCGUGCUUAACACAUGCAAGUCGAACGGAAAGGCCCUGCUUUUGUGGGGUGCUCGAGUGGCGAACGGGUGAGUAACACGUGAGUAACCUGCCCUUGACGUUGGGAUAACUUCAGGAAACUGGGGCUAAUACCGGAUAGGAGCGCCUGCUGCAUGGUGGGGGUUGGAAAGUUUCGGCGGUUGGGGAUGGACUGCCGGCUUAUCGGCUGGUUGGGGGGGGAGGGGCUUACCAAGGCUUUGCGGGGUAGCCGGCCUGAGAGGGUGACCGGCCACAUUGGACCUGGGAUACGGCCCGGACUCCUCGGGGAGGCAGAGGUGGGGAAUAUUGCACAAUGGGCGGAGGCCUAAUGCGGCAACGCCGCGUGCGGGAUGACGGCCUUCGGGUUGUAACCCGCUUUCGCAUGUGACGAAGCGUGAGUGACGGUAACGGGUGAAGAAGCACCGGCUAACUACGUG